UACCUAAGGAAAGCAGCUGGUAUAGGCCCAAGUCUUUAAGCUGGCAGACAUCAUUUUGGGAGGGGCAUUUCAGCCUCAUGGAUCCCUCUGGGAGUAGAAAGGAGUUGCACAGAUCCAUCCGCAAGCCCCCAUCCUGCACAAUGUUGUAGCAAAAAGAGCAUUGGAUUUGAAAUCAGAGAAGAUUCCUGAUUUACUCCAAGUCUUGCAGAACAGAGAUAUUUGAAAUUAAAGAUCCCGUAACACUGAAAUGCCUCUUCUGCAAUGUGCCCUAAAGAAAGGGAAGAUGAUGAAAGAAUCCAGAGAUAUUCAAUGGAGUACUUGGAGCUACCUCUUUCAGAAUCUAUUGCCAUUGGGCACAGCUUUUGCUUCUCUCUGCUCAGGGACUGGGCACUGAGGAAUAAAUGAAUAGAACCAUGAAA